UCUCCGUAGGUGAACCUGCGGAGGGAUCAUUACUGAGUGAGGGUUUAACCGCCCGACCUCCAACCCUUUGUGAAUCGUACUCGUUGCUUCGGGGGCGACCCGGCCUUCGGGCGUCGGGGCCCCCGGAGCCCAUCAAACCCUGCGUAACUAAGUCGUCGGAGUUUAAACAAAUUAAACAAAACUUUCAACAACGGAUCUCUUGGUUCGGGCAUCGAUGAAGAACGCAGC
rnacentral:misc_RNA from 1 species